rnacentral:rRNA from 1 species
UUCUUCGGAGAGUUUGAUCCUGGCUCAGGAUGAACGCUGGCGGCGUGCCUAAUACAUGCAAGUCGAGCGAACUGAUUAGAAGCUUGCUUCUAUGACGUUAGCGGCGGACGGGUGAGUAACACGUGGGCAACCUGCCUGUAAGACUGGGAUAACUUCGGGAAACCGAAGCUAAUACCGGAUAGG